AGGACUUAAGGAAGCAUGACGUGAGACUGCCGGCGAUGACGAAGAGGAUGUCGACGGGGGACGGAGGUAAGGUGGACGCCGGACGAAGAGGAUGUUGGCGGGCGACGAAAGGAAGGUGGACGCCGGGGCCGGAGUGUACACCGGCAGGAGAGAGCUCCCUGUCGGAUGGGCGGUGGACGCCGGGACCGGAGUGGUCACCGGCGGGAGGGAGCCCUCAUGCCUCUCUCACUGCUCUCUGGGUCGGAAGGCCUUCCUUGGAAUCUUUUGAGUUGAUGACAUUCCUG
rnacentral:lncRNA from 1 species